rnacentral:rRNA from 1 species
UACGAAGGGUGCAAGCGUUACUCGGAAUUACUGGGCGUAAAGCGUGCGUAGGUGGUUUGUUAAGUCUGUUGUGAAAGCCCCGGGCUCAACCUGGGAAUGGCAAUGGAUACUGGCAAGCUAGAGUGCGGUAGAGGGUAGUUGGAAUUCCCGGUGUAGCGGUGAAAUGCGUAGAGAUCGGGAGGAACACCAGUGGCGAAGGCGGCUCCUGGACC